rnacentral:tRNA from 1 species
UUAAUUGAAGCCAAAAAUAGAGGCAUAUCACUGUUAAUGAUAAUAUUGGAUUUUAAUUUCCCAAUUAAA